GAUGAACGCUAGCGACAGGCUUAACACAUGCAAGUCGAGGGGCAUCACGGGAGUAGCAAUACAACUGGUGGCGACCGGCGCACGGGUGAGUAACGCGUAUGCAACCUACCUAUCAGAGGGGAAUAACCCGGCGAAAGUCGGACUAAUACCGCAUAAAACAGGGGCACCGCAUGGUGAUAUUUGUUAAAGAAAUUCGCUGAUAGAUGGGCAUGCGUUCCAUUAGGUAGUUGGUGAGGUAACGGCUCACCAAGCCGACGAUGGAUAGGGGAACUGAGAGGUUGGUCCCCCACACUGGUACUGAGACACGGACCAGACUCCUACGGGAGGCAGCAGUGAGGAAUAUUGGUCAAUGGGCGGGAGCCUGAACCAGCCAAGUCGCGUGAAGGAAGAAGGAUCUAUGGUUCGUAAACUUCUUUUGCAGGGGAAUAAAGUGCAGGACGUGUCCUGUUUUGUAUGUACCCUGAGAAUAAGGAUCGGCUAACUCCGUGCCAGCCGCCGCCGUAA
rnacentral:rRNA from 1 species